GACGAACCGUGCGAACGUUAUUCGGAAUCACUGGGCUUAAAGAGCGCGUAGGCGGAUUGCUGCGUCGGUCUCUGAAAUCCCCCGGCUCAACCGGGGAACGGGAGUCGAUACGGGCAGUCUUGAGGGACGUAGGGGGGGCUGGAACUUCCGGUGGAGCGGUGAAAUGCGUUGAGAUCGGAAGGAACGCCCGUGGCGAAAGCGAGCCCCUGGACGUCUGCUGACGCUGAGGCGCGAAAGCCAGGGGAGCGAACGGG
rnacentral:rRNA from 1 species